rnacentral:rRNA from 1 species
CCUACGGGAGGCAGCAGUGGGGAAUAUUGGGCAAUGGAGGAAACUCUGACCCAGCGACGCCGCGUGCGGGAUGAAGGCCUUCGGGUUGUAAACCGCUUUCAGUAGGGAAGAAGCGAAAGUGACGGUACCUACAGAAGAAGCACCGGCUAACUAUGUGCCAGCAGCCGCGGUAAUACAUAGGGUGCAAGCGUUGUCCGGAAUUAUUGGGCGUAAAGAGCUCGUAGGUGGUUCGUCACGUCGGAUGUGAAAAUCUGGGGCUCAACCCCAGACCUGCAUUCGAUACGGGCGAUCUAGAGUGUGGUAGGGGAGACUGGAAUUCCUGGUGUAGCGGUGGAAUGCGCAGAUAUCAGGAGGAACACCAAUGGCGAAGGCAGGUCUCUGGGCCAUUACUGACACUGAGGAGCGAAAGCGUGGGGAGCGAACAGGAUUAGAUACCCUGGUAGUCCACGCCGUAAACGGUGGGCACUAGUUGUGGGAACCUUCCACGGUUUCUGCGACGCAGCUACGCAUAGUGCCCGCCGUCGGGAGGUACGAUCGCAAGAAUUAAACUACAAAGAAGUUAGACGGCGUGAGACGUGCCGACGGACGACGACGAGGGAGGUAGG